UGUAUGUGCGUGUGUGUGUGCGUGUGUGCGGGUAAAGUGCGUGCGUGCGUUCGAUUCGAUUCGUGGUGUGUGGCACAGCGUGGCGUGGCCUGGCUUGAGUUGUGCAUUGGUGUGUGUAAAUUUUCGGGCCAAAUCGAAAGCAAACAGUGAAACAAAGACUCCAAAGGGACAGGCUCAGGUAACGCGUAUUGCCACCAACGAAUGCGAAUGUCCCGCGAACCGGUUGAACUUAAAGUCCGCUUUGUAUUCUUUGAGCUUUGGAGCAGCCGUAGGGCCUCACAUCUCCAAUAGGCGAAGUCGGCGCUCAAGUAACAACUUCGAUGAACCUACAAAGCAAAAUACAAGCUGAAGCUUAUUGCAGCCAUACAAUCUGCUGUGUGUAGAAAAUCAGCCACUGUAGCAACCGAAAAUCAUCGAAAUUGUCGUCACUUCAAUCAAGUGGAAAUUUGAUUAAAGAAAUUUAAAAAAAAAUCAAAUCUCAAAAGCUGAACAAAACGAAAAACACCCAAAAUAAAAGCUGCUAGUAUAUCAAAAGGUAACAGCAAAUGAAAUCAACAUGCACGCACAUGAACGAAUUUGGAACGAAAACAUCAACAAUAACUAUAGCAAGUCAAACAAACUAACAUAGCAAACAUUAAAAUUCAGCGAAGCGGAAAGCUCUCAGCAAGGGCCAAGUAAAGAAAGGUUUUUCAAAAGCGGAAAUACAAAGCCUCAUAGAACCAAUGAAAUCCAUAUACAUAUAAAAGAUUAACGAAGUGAAUACGUAUUAAAAACCCCAAAAAUAGUAGCAGCUACACAAAAAAAAGAAAGAAAAAAAGUAAUGCAAAUUGAAAGGUACGAGUAUAGUAGUUAGUGGCUGCAACGCCUUGGGGACUUAAAGUACAAUUAAGGACGCACAGCUGACGACUGCCUUGAGACAAGGACAUUUCAUACACUGCUUUUUUUUGUGUGUAUUUGUGUGUGUGUGUGUGUGCUCUCCAUCGACUAAAGCACGAAAUUAAGUGCAGAUUAUCAGCAGAUUAUAUUUUAAUAGCAUUUCAAGCUGUUGCCUUUCACGACAAAACCUAAAGGACGUCAACGGCAACGGCAACAGCAACGGCAACAGCAACAGCAACGACGACGACGGCGACCAGCCGCAGCCAAAAGGACUUGAAUAACAACAAAUACAUUGUAACAAUGUGUUAGUGCGCCGGUUGUGUGUGAGCGCAUGUGUGUGUGCGCAUGUGUGUGUUAGUCAAUGUGAGCAAGAGCGGCUUGUUACACGAUGGCAGCUCUUCGAUUUUUUCAAAGCAGCCUCAACUAAAGCAAACAUAAGCGCGUUGGAAAUUGAAAUAAAAGCAAGCCGAGUAGUUUUAUUGCCCAGUGUUCCGUGAGUGUGCCACAAAACAAAAAAAUAGUAAAAAGAAACGAAAAGAAAAGAAUUGAAUUAAAACAUUAAGUAUACGCGGUGUGAAAGCUUAACGAAGCUGAAGGAAAAUCAAAGCAACAAUGUGCGCACCCCAAACGGACUUGCAGCAAAACUAAACAAAACUGAACUGAGCUGAGCUGAAUUGAAGAACUGGAGCGUGGUUUCCCAAAGUAAACUAAACAGCAGUUCGUUCUGUUUGUCGUUCGAGCUCUGCGUGGAAAUGCAAACAACGUUAUUAGCAGCGCAGGCAGUGUGGCAAAGACGAGUCUAUUAAUAAAACAAACAGACAACAGGCUGAGAGAAAAAAAAAGGAAGCAAAAAAAUGAAAGCAAACGAAAGCCGAGUGGGAGUUGAACGCAAAUCGAAACUGCUAAACGGCUGCCAAUGAGACGGCAGAACACAGGCCACAUCACACCCAGCAAGCGGGCUUAGGAGCGAAGGAAGCCAGAGCACUUGACGGUAUCGGAACAGUUAGCUGAAAACGUUCGGGCUGAAAGCGGAUUGCGAAUUUGCUAUAUUGACAUAAGGAAAUCGUUAGCCGGCUUAGCCUCAUCCCGAGGCACAUUUAAAAUUAAACACAU